rnacentral:lncRNA from 1 species
GAGAUUCACCUAACUUUAAAUGAUUUGGUGGGGCCAUUCUGAAUAGACAAUAACGAUUAGUCCUUUUUCUAAGGAGUAUCAUACAUUUCUAAGUGGAUUGUUUAUAUCUGAAUGUUUGUUGCUCAUCUCAAUUCACAUUAUAAGGUUAAGAUGUGGUUUUAUUUUAUGGUUUAAUUUAUGCUCACUUAUGCUAAUUGAGGCUUGGACUAGUAGUUUGUAAGGAGUAAACAGACUAUUUUUUUCAGAUAUUCAUAUUUUGAUCAUGGCUUAAUUGUACAAAUUGUCAUUUUUGAUAUUGCAUUGACCUUUUCCAAACAUAGCUAUUUUGUAUAAAGACUUACCUUUUUUUUAAAAAAAUCAUUUCUGCAUCUUCUUCUCUAUUUUCUUCAGUUGAGGUGUGGCUUAAACUACCUUUCAGUGGAAUAAAUACUGUGACCUCUCAGGUCAACUUCUAACUGGAGAGUCUGUUCUGUGAUCAUAUACCUCUGCUAUGAUUGGAAAGAGUGAGAUCUGUGUCAGUGACGGACUGUGUACCUUUUUCAAGGAGGAAGUAGAUUUUCAGGCUCUAUUAAAGAUGUUGUGCUUACCAUGUUUCUCAUCUCCUGUAUCCAUACCAGCAGUAGAAUUCCAGUCAUCAGACUCUUGAACCCACAGCUUCUGCCACAGCCACCGCCAAGGAGAUCCCCCUCAGAGCCCAGAAAACACACAUUCAUGAUGGCAUUGCCCAGGAACUAUGAAGUCUGUUUGGAUAUGAAGAACCUGAAACUUUUGUCUGCUCAGAUGGAAGCCAGGCUGGUGGCCACGUCAGGAAGAAUGCUUGAAAGCCUCGGAUCAGAAUUUAUAGAGGCCCGGAGUUCCUGGCACUACCUGACAUAACUGGCAUUAUUUGAUCUUUCUAACCACAGCACCCCAAAGCUGAAAAGAAUCAGUCAGGUAGAAUUCACAUUUAUUUUUUCCUUCAAUGAAAAUCAUUGUAUAGUAGCAUAUGUUUAAGGGAAUGUGUGAGUUUUAUUGCAGGUCAGAAAGGCUGCAGUUCUAAUCCGUGAUUCACAAAGAAAACAGAG